UACGAAGGGGGCUAGCGUUGCUCGGAAUCACUGGGCGUAAAGGGUGCGUAGGCGGGUCUUUAAGUCAGGGGUGAAAUCCUGGAGCUCAACUCCAGAACUGCCUUUGAUACUGAAGAUCUUGAGUUCGGGAGAGGUGAGUGGAACUGCGAGUGUAGAGGUGAAAUUCGUAGAUAUUCGCAAGAACACCAGUGCGAAGGCGGCUCACUGGCCCGAUACUGACGCUGAGG
rnacentral:rRNA from 1 species